AUUGAACGCUGGCGGCAGGCCUAACACAUGCAAGUCGAGCGGCAGCGGAAAGUAGCUUGCUACUUUGCCGGCGAGCGGCGGACGGGUGAGUAAUGUCUGGGAAACUGCCUGAUGGAGGGGGAUAACUACUGGAAACGGUAGCUAAUACCGCAUAACGUCGCAAGACCAAAGAGGGGGACCUUCGGGCCACUUGCAAGCAGAUGUGCCAAGAUGGGAUUAGCUAGUAGGUGGGGUAACGGCUCACCUAGGCGACGGUCCCUAGCUGGUCUGAGAGGAUGACCAGCCACACUGGAACUGAGACACGGUCCAGACUCCUACGGGAGGCAGCAGUGGGGAAUAUUGCACAAUGGGCGCAAGCCUGAUGCAGCCAUGCCGCGUGUAUGAAGAAGGCCUUCGGGUCGUAAAGUACUUUCAGCGGGGAGGAGGGUGUUGAGGUUAAUAACCUCAGCAAUUGACGUUACCCGCAGAAGAAGCACCGGCUAACUCCGUGCCAGCCGCCGCCGUAACAC
rnacentral:rRNA from 1 species